UACAGAGGGUGCGAGCGUUAAUCGGAAUUACUGGGCGUAAAGCGUGCGUAGACGGUUAUUUAAGUCGGAUGUGAAAGCCCCGGGCUCAACCUGGGAAUUGCAUUCGAGACUGAAUAGCUAGGGUGCGGUAGAGGGAAGCGGAAUUUCCGGUGGAGCGGUGAAAUGCGUAGAUAUCGGAAGGAACGCCGGUGGCGAAAGCGGCACGCUGGACCCCUCUGACGCUGAGGCGCGAAAGCCAGGGGAGCGAACGGG
rnacentral:rRNA from 1 species